AACUGCUCUGAGAUCAGCUCCACUGUCAGACACAAUGUCAAGUCCACCAUCAUCAUGUGUGUUCCUCUGGAUCAUGUGACAGAGGAUCAUCAGUGGAUCUGGACUGCUCUGCUGCUGCUCUGUCACUUAUUUAAACUGAUUUACCUGCUUUGCUUUCUGUUGCAACUCCACCCUGUGGAAUGAUUAAGAACUGCAGUUCAUUUCCACGUUAUUAUUCACAUUAAUUUUGAUGUGUAGUGAAGUUGUGUGAAGUUGAUGUGAAGAAGCAUUUUUUAGUAAUUUAUGAGCAUUUAUCUUAUCCACGUGUUGUAAUGUAAGUCUAUCUUAUUUUAUUGUAUUGUAUUUUAUUAUAUUAUUUUGUGAAUACCAGAUGAUAAAAACCUGUAGAAAGUUUGAAUUGAACUCCAAACUUAAGCAUCAUUAUUAGUACAAUAUUAUAAAUGUGUUAUCGUUUUAAAAUUGUGUAUUUUUCUAGUAAAUUUAACAGAUUGUUAAAACAGAAAACUGAACUAAAGAACUGCAAAGUCACUAUGGAUGAUUUGUUUCACUUUCACGUGAUUUGAUCCAUUGUUGAUAUAAAAACAUUGAUUAAAGUUGCUUUUAGUUUCUGAAAUAUCUCUGGAUUUUGUUGAAAGGUCGGAGAUGUGUUAAACUUUAACACUGUGUUACACUGUGUUUGUUUUCUUUUGACAUGAAAUGUAUCAAAUAUAGCAAGAAAAGCACAAAGUAUAUAAGAUCGAUUGUGUCAGUAUCAUUUUAUAUUUCAUAUACUUUUUAUAUUUCACAAACUUUAUAUUUAUACUGUUAUUACCUUGUCUUCUGUUUUUAUUCGGAGCCUUGCAACAAAAUCUUGCUCAAAUGUACAUUGUGAAUGUUCAGUUAAAUGACAAUAAAGUCAAUCAGAGACAGAGUCUGGGUCCGGUUUGUCUUGGUUAAAUAACAACUAGUUUCUGUGAACAGUUUGUUUUGGUUUUCUCCAUCAUUUACUCACAUUAUGUUUCUGUUUACAUCAUGAAACUGGGAGCAAAGUCACAUGGUUUCAGAAAGACACCAGUUCUGAGCGUGUUCAGUUUGUUCAGUCCUCCUUUAAAGUCAACAGAGCAGACGGAGGAAAAGUGAUUCUGAGUCAGGGCCCGCCCUACCCUGUCUGUGAUUGGCUGAUAUUCUUGCCCUCCUCACCUUGACCAAUCACAGUCCUCCUCAUGCUUACAGCCAACCCAUUUCAUUUCAAGGAAAUCCAGAGGCAGUUUGCAGAAACAGUCUGAGGUGAGUUCAGUUUGUUUGGACUACAUUUAAAGUCGACAGAGCAGACAGAGGAAAAGUGAUUCUGAGUCAGGACUGACUGAAGUCCAGAAGAAGAGUGAUUCUGAGGAGGACAGAGCAUGUUCAUGACUGACUGAAGUCCAGAAGAUGAAUGUUGGUGUGGAGGAAGAGGAGGACAGAGCAGAGUCUCCAGCAUCCAGCUGUCUGUCCAUGAAGAGUAACUUUUCCAAGGAUCUUCCUAUACAGUUCAGUGAUGAACCUGGACCCUCAGACACAAAAGUUCAGUCCAACAGACAGGAGAGC